rnacentral:rRNA from 1 species
UACGUAGGGUGCAAGCGUUAAUCGGAAUUACUGGGCGUAAAGCGUGCGCAGGCGGUUUUGUAAGUCUGACGUGAAAGCCCCGGGCUUAACCUGGGAAUUGCGUUGGAGACUGCAAGGCUUGAAUCUGGCAGAGGGGGUAGAAUUCCACGUGUAGCAGGUGAAAUGCGUAGAGAUGAUGGAGGAACACCGAUGGCGAAGGCAGCCCCCUGGGU